CAUGCAUGUCUAAGUAUAACCUGCCAGACAGGGAAACUGCGUACGGCUCAUUACACCAGCCUUAAUUUACUUGACCUUGACAACCUACUUGGAUAACUGUGGUAAUUCUAGAGCUAAUACAUGCACCAAAGCUCCGAUCCUCGCGGAGAGGAGCGCAUUUGUUCGCCACAAAACCAAGCGCCCAUCUGGGCGUCCAGUGCUGAACCAGAACAACUCAGCUGAUCGCACGGUCUUGUACCGGCGACGUGUCUUUCAAGUGUCUGCCUUAUCAACUUUCGAUGGUAGUGUACCUGACUACCAUGGUUGUGACGGGUAACGGAGGAUAAGGGUUCGACUCCGGAGAAGGGGCCUGAGAAAUGGCCACUACGUCUAAGGAUGGCAGCAGGCGCGCAAAUUACCCACUCUCAACGCGAGGAGGUAGUGACGAGAAAUAACGAGACCGUUCUCAUACGAGGCCGGUUAUUGGAAUGGGUACAAUUUAAUCCCUUAACGAGAUNU
rnacentral:rRNA from 1 species